GCAGAGAGUCCAAAUACUGUGAUCACAAGUUUCUUGGGUUCUUUUUUCCUGCUCCCCCUUCUGUGGAUUAUUUUAUUCACUUAAAAGUAUUAUUAUUUGCUUCUAAUUGUAUUCAGUUUGGAGAGUUUUUCUGUCCUUGUGGAUUUUACUUGUUUUCUUUGAGUAUGUGAAACACUGACAUGUUUCCAACAAUCAAAUCUGUGCAAAAAAAAAAAAAAAAGCAUAUUCAGAGGAAUGUGAUUUUCUUUCCCACAUUCUCUUUGUCUUCCCCAUGGAGUUCUCUCCUUAUUCUGUAGGUAACCAAUCUGAUUUGUUUCUGGGUUUUCCUUCCUGUUUUAUCUUUUGCUCAACUAAGUACAUAAGUAUAUAUCUUAUUAUUUCCACUUCUUUCUUACCCAAAAGAUAUAAUGCUAUAGAUACUCUUUUGUACUUUGCUAAUCAUAUAGUUUUAAAGUCGAAUCAGACCUUCUCAUUUUAUUUCUAAGGUUAUUCUUUUUUUCUCUCUCUCUCUCUUUUUUUUGUCUUUUAGACAUUGGAUCAGCAACAGUUCUUCACAGAAGAAGAACUGAAAGAAUAUGAAAAUCUUAUCUCUGUACAAGAAACUGAACUUAAGAAAAAGGCAGAUGAGCUUCAGAAACAAAAAGAAGAGCUACAACGUCAGCAUGACCAACUUGAGGCUCAGAAGCUGGAAUAUCAUCAGGUGGUAUUUUGUAAAAGGCUCAUGGCAUUAAAAAAAAGAUUUUUAGGAGCUUCUGUCAUGGCUCAGUAGUUAAUGAACCUGACUAGUGUCCAUGAGGAUGAAAGUUCGAUCCCUGGCCUUGCUCAGUGGAUUAAUGAGCCUGCAUUGCCGUGAGCUGUGGUGUAUGUAGGUUGCAGAUGUGGCUCAGAUCUGGUGUUGCUGUGGCUGUGGCUGUGAUGCAGGCCAGUAGCUGCAGCUCUGAUUUGACCCCUCGCUUGGAAACCUUCGCAUGCCAAAGAUGUGGCCCUAAAAAAGACAAAAAAACAAAAGACAAAAAACAAAAAAAAAAAGAAAAGAUUUUUAGGUGCUUUGCUAAAAGCCUGUGUUUUUGUAAUAUAAUAUUUCAAUUAGCUGUAGCGUUUUAAAUUUUAGUAUUUUUUAAAAACUGCAUUGUUGAAUAUCAAUCUAAAUUUUAGAAUUUGAAUAUCUCAUUUUGAAAAACAAUGUUCAGUUAGUUUGUUGUGCUUUGUCAGGAGUCAUACAUAUCAGAGAAAAUCAAAUAGUACUUAUUUUUAAGAAAUUCUUUUUCCACUCACUAGGUUGUGCAGCAGAUGGAACAAAAAAAAUUACAAGCAAUUUCCCCAUCAGCCCCUGGUGGAGAAUCAAAGAUCCAGCCACACAUUUGAAGCUUGAAGUCCACCAGAACUUGAAGAAAAUUGUUAAAUCCUCAUCCGUGUCAUCUUUUUACCUCCCUUCCUUUUUCUCUGCUCAAUAAAUAUUUUAAAGCAUAUAUGGAAUAAAGGAUGAUACUUUUUA
rnacentral:lncRNA from 1 species